AAUAGAAUUACGCAUUGUUCAAGUAAUUACAUGUUCACAAUUGAAUGGACAGGAAAUAUGAAUUAUUAUUAACCAACAGAAAAAUCCACAUCAAACCGAUAGGUUGCAUCUCAGUGAUAUGUGAAUAUAAAAUAGUGAAUAUUGCAAAUUGAAAAUACUUAAUUGCCACAACUGUUUAUUCAGCGCAUGCGCUUGUUGGCCACGACACAGGGUUUCCUGUCAACAUGGGAAGGGCUGGCAGUGGCAGGCAACAUGUGUUCCAGUUCCACUCCGGUUGAAGUUUUCUCAACUUUGUUUGCAGGAUGGCCAAAUUUCGAAAAGAUAAGAGCACCACAUCUCCCAUGUUCUUCAAGCACUGUGGUUUCUCCUUAGACCAGGACAAUCUUCCCUGAGUGACACCAGGAGCUUCACCAUAGGAGACCUCAAAAGGGAGUUGUGCCUUAAAGUCACGCCUUGUAAGAUAUCAUCACAAAGCUGACCUUGUUGGGGGAAGGCUCUGGGUGACGCUGAGGACACAUUGUUGACGGAUCAUGACCUCUGACAUCCUCAGGCACCGCAAAGAUGCUGCUCUUCGAGGACUUCCAGUAUUUCUCUGUGAGGACCCCAAGGAACUUUUCAAAGAGUGCCUUGAGGCCGAUGCAGAUGGUGUGGCUCUCCAGGGUGUGGCUGUGGGCAUUCUAUAUGUUCGUGAAGACUGUGGUCCAGGUACAUCUACGCGAGUGCAAAACAUUGCCGUCAUCCUCGAGGAGAGUUGUUUUGCAAGAUAUCCCAGAUACCCCAACUGCUCUGGCAUACCUUUUUGGCUUCCUUUAUGCCCUGAAUAUCUCCUACCCAAAGGCUCUGA